AUGACACAAAAUAUGGCCGAUGAUGUAAACAUGCCUGAAAACCACAUAAAUGGAUUUAAAGAAACCCCAGGCGAGCGAGAGGAUCAGAAUGAAGCUGAUGAAACAGAAGAAACUAUGAUUGAAGAUGAGGAAAACCUAGAAGAACUCGUAGAAAAUGCAAGCAAUGAGUAUCAAGACCUGAGCAACACGCUCGAUCAGAUUGACAGAUAUAUGACGAAUUUAGAAAACCAGAAUGAUUCUCUCGUGUCCAAGCUCCAGGAUCUUCUCGAGUCUAACCGACAGAUGAGGGCAGAACUUCAACAGGAAAACGCCAAAGUAAAGAACAGCUGAAAUGCAAGGAAUUAGGGGGACAACUUAAUUAAAGAGAAUAGACGUUUAAAAUGUAGAUAUAGUCAGACUAUAUUUAGUGGUUUUCCUUUGCUCGUCAGUUGGAGCAGGGAUUAAGUUCUUUUCUUUCAAUAUUCGGAUUAACUAUAUCGAUUGUUAUCAUUUUCAAUGUACUCCAGCAGCGUGGUUACCAUGGUAACAACAUUCAAGUUCCUGGCUAUCUCGAGUUACCGGAACUGCUCGGUUGUCACGCGCAUCAAACGUGUAACAAUCUUACUGUGAAUAAUGAUCAGUGUCCCACACAUCGGAGAACAAGAUCUAAAGGAAGAUGUUCUGGUUUAAAUUCUAGUACUGGAUAAGAUUUAUGUAUAAAGAACCGUACAUUGUAUAUGUUUUUGUAAUUUGGUUUAGUUUAAUCAUUCAAUGUUGGAAGUUCAGGUUUAAAUAAUAUUGCUGGUUGUAAUAAGAUUUAUGUAUGAUGAACAGUACAUUGUAUAUGUAUUGGAUAUGUACGUUUUGUAAUAUAUAGUUUAGUUUAAUCAUUGUUAAAAAUAAAAUUGGUGUAACAUG
rnacentral:misc_RNA from 1 species